rnacentral:rRNA from 1 species
UACGUAGGGUGCGAGCGUUUAAUCGGAAUUACUGGGCGUAAAGCGUGCGCAGGCGGUUAUGUAAGACAGGUGUGAAAUCCCCCGGGCUUAACCUGGGAACUGCAUUUGUGACUGCAUAGCUAGAGUACGGUAGAGGGGGGAUGGAAUUCCGCGUGUAGCAGUGAAAUGCGUAGAUAUGCGGAGGAACACCGAUGGCGAAGGCAAUCCCCCUGGACCUGUACUGACGCUCAUGCACGAAAGCGUGGGGGAGCAAACAGG